CACGCUCACACUAGGUGAAGGUCUGACU
rnacentral:piRNA from 1 species